rnacentral:rRNA from 1 species
AAGAUUAAGCCAUGCAUGUCUAAGUAUAAACAAAUUCAUACUGUGAAACUGCGAAUGGCUCAUUAAAUCAGUUAUAGUUUAUUUGAUGGUAUCUUACUACAUGGAUAACUGUGGUAAUUCUAGAGCUAAUACAUGCUGAAAAGCCCCGACUUCUGGAAGGGGUGUAUUUAUUAGAUAAAAACCAACGCUGGAAACAGCUCCCUUGGUGAUUCAUAAUAACUUCUCGAAUCGCAU